rnacentral:rRNA from 1 species
CCUACGGGAGGCAGCAGUGGGGAAUAUUGCACAAUGGGGGAAACCCUGAUGCAGCGACGCCGCGUGAGUGAAGAAGUAUUUCGGUAUGUAAAGCUCUGUCAGCAGGGAAGAAAAUGACGGUACCUGACUAAGAAGCCACGGCUAACUACGUGCCAGCAGCCGCGGUAAUACGUAGGGGGCAAGCGUUAUCCGGAUUUACUGGGUGUAAAGGGAGCGUAGACGGUUGGGCAAGUCUGGGGUGAAAGGCCGGGGCUCAACCCCGGGACUGCUUUGGAAACUGCUAGGCUGGAGUGCAGGAGAGGUAAGUGGAAUUCCUAGUGUAGCGGUGAAAUGCGUAGAUAUUAGGAGGAACACCAGUGGCGAAGGCGGCUUACUGGACUGUAACUGACGUUGAGGCUCGAAAGCGUGGGGAGCAAACAGGAUUAGAUACCCGUGUAGUC